UGAAUACGAGACGCUACGGCGUCGAAGCAGUCUAUGUCAUACUUCCAAGAAAAGCUUGCACUGUCAUAAACAAAUAAUGCCUGUACCAUAACCGACACAGGUGGGUAGGUAGAGUAUACUAAGGGGCGCGAGAUAACUCUCUCUAAGGAACUCGGCAAAAUGACUCCGUAACUUCGGGAGAAGGAGUGCCUUAAGAAAUUAAGGUUGCAAUAACAAGAUCCAAGCAACUGUUUAUCAAAAACACAGGUCUCCGCUAAGUCGUAAGACGAUGUAUGGGGGCUGACGCCUGCCCAGUGCCAGAAGGUUAAAGAAGUCGGUUAGCAUUAGCGAAGCUGGUAACUGAAGCCCUGGUGAACGGCGGCCGUAACAAUAACGGUCCUAAGGUAGCGAAAUUCCUUGUCGGGUAAGUUCCGACCCGCAAAAGGCGUAAUGAUUUGGAUUCUGUCUCGGAGAGGGACUCGGUGAAAUAGACUUGUCUGUGAAGAUGCGGACUACCUGCACCAGGACAGAAAGACCCUAUGAAGCUUUACUGUAACUUGAAAUUGAAAUUGGACUUUACUUGCGCAGUAUAGGUGGGAGGCGUUGAGAAUAUUCUUGCGGGAAUAUUGGAGCCAUCAGUGAGAUACCACUCUUGUAAUGUUAGAUUUCUAACUUUGUAUCAUUAUCUGGUCAAAGAACAGUUUCAGGCGGGCAGUUUGACUGGGGCGGUCGCCUCCUAAACGGUAACGGAGGCGCACAAAGGUUUCCUCUGAACGGGUAGAAAUCGUAUCUAGAGUGUAAAGGCAUAAGGAAGCUUGACUGUGAGACCUACAAGUCGAGCAGGGACGAAAGUCGGUCUUAGUGAUCUGACGGUGCUGAGUGGAAAGGCCGUCACUCAACGGAUAAAAGUUACUCUAAGGAUAACAGGCUGAUCUCCCCCAAGAGUUCACAUCGACGGGGAGGUUUGGCACCUCGAUGUCGGCUCAUCGCAUCCUGGGGCGGUAGUACGUCCCAAGGGUUGGGCUGUUCGCCCAUGAAAGCGGUACGCGAGCUGGGUUCAGAACGUCGUGAGACAGUUCGGUCCAUAUCCGGUGUAGGCGUUAGAAUAUUGAGAGGAGCCUUCUUUAGUACGAGAGGACCGAGAAGGACAUACCUCUGGUGUACCAGUUAUCGUGCCAACGGUAAACGCUGGGUAGCCAUGUAUGGAGAGGAUAACCGCUGAAAGCAUCUAAGUGGGAAGCCCACCUCAAGAUAAGUA
rnacentral:rRNA from 1 species